UCGUGUGCAAACGCACGAUGAACUAAUUUUGUACACCGUGUAGUCUGUUGUUAUUUUUUGUAUAGUGUGGACGUUGAAUAUUUACAUUCGUUUCGGAUCAUUACGUUUUCGUACAUAGUUCCAAAAUAAAAUUACGGGUACGUUGCAGUGACUUUGACAACCAGAAGUACGUAUAUGACGACAUUUCUUUCGGAAAUCGGUAAAUUAAAGAGAGGAAACCAAAAGUUUUGGCGAGACGCUACGAAACGUAUACUGUACCGUGUGUAGAAGUAUUUAUACGGAGUGGAGGAAAACCGCCCUCGUGGUGGACAUAAAAGUAUACGACGACAGAUCGAGAGAUUUCAUUUCGGUCGGGGAGGACGGUGGUUCAUAAAAUAAUCAUACGCGUCUCGCAGUGGUUACGGUACACGGGGUUGGACCCGCGCAACGUUCUGCGUCCGGAUAUCUUUGAAUUUAUUGAACUAUUCAUGGGGAAAUAAACAUUUAUGGACACGGCCGACGACGAUCACGCGGCCAAAGUUGUCCGUCCGAUGACGGUUUUCGAUUAUCCGGCGGCGUGCGUGGACUCGGAGAGCACAACGCGCAAUUUUAUAAAUAUUAAAUCAUGUUAUUAUCCUUAAAAACGAAACGGAUCGGCUUGAUGGCCAUAAUAUUUUAGUAUUGGCUAUAAACGACUUAAAUAUUAAACAAUGGUUGGCAUUACGGCGGUCUAGACGCGACGAUUUGCGAACUUGCAGUUUAAGGGGAACACACCGAAGGUACAGCCGAACCGCACUUCUUACCGAAAUCGAAGUAAUCGAAUUGCACUGAAGUGAAGAAAAUGUGAUAUUUACACCUUUAUAAAAAAAUCUAAUUAUGUAGUACUUUUUUUUUUACGACCAAUCGCUUGAGUCAGGAUGUAUUUCAGGAAAAUAUUUUUUUUUUUUUGUAUUUUCGAAAAAAAUUUGGUCAUAACAAAAACGUACGUAAAUGGAGGUGUUAUUAUUACGAGUAUUUCUUUUACGUACUUUUACGUUAUGCGAAAAAACAACCGCGCGUUAAAAAUAAGAUUGAUUUUUCGAACAUUUUUCUUGAACCGAGCGCAUUGUGGUAAUUACUCGUUUUCGAUCGGAGAGCGGUUCGACCAUGGUCUUUUUCCACUAGGGUAAACGCAAAUCGACAACGCUCCGAAGCGAAUAUGUUCACGGGGUGACGAUCGAAAACGAAAAUCGGUCACGCGUUAUCGAUAAUUACGGCAACGUUUGAGCCGCCAUAAUAACGCGUAUAGUGUUAUACAGUGCGCGCGUAUAGGCACUCGAGAAAUGAGCAAAACGGAAAAGAAUCGUACAAAUAUGGGGUUUUUUUUUUUCGGGUAAACGCGUGCAAAAAACCGAACCGCGUCCGAAACGAGGGGCGUCGAAAAAAAACGGGUCGCUAUUAUUGUGUUGUGUUCAUAAUGAUCUUCGGUGUAUUAUAUUAUUUCGUGAAAAUAUUAUCAUAAUCGCGUCGGAAACGUUCGCGCGGUGUAUUCACAUUAUUCACUCCGAUCGGCGCGAACGGGCUUACCGUUUAUUUUUUCCGGCCUACUAACGAGGUAAUGUUGUAAACCGUAACAGAAUAAUAACGAUAAUUGUUGUUAUUAAAACCGUAUUAUUUUUCCGAACGCGCGUCACAAUCAAAUGCAACGACGCGGCUGACACAUGCGACGACGAGGUGGCAUUCGUUAUUAUUAUAUACUCAUUAUUCGUAUUCGUAUUAUUAUUAUUAUUAUUAUUAUUCGUAUUAUAUCUGGUCGAACGUCGAGUGGGCGGAAAUCCUCGCAGUGAGCGAACUACGAACAACGUUAAAUAUUAUUAUUAUUUUUCAGUCACCCCCACCCCCUCAAACCACGGGUGGAAGAGCCUUUUUUAACAGGAGGCGCGCAGUCGAACCGACGAAUCAUCCAAGUGUCAUUAUUCUAUAAACGUUUCUCAUUAUGUCGUCUAUGAGAAGACCGCGGAACUUCUCGCACAAGUAAAUCCAUCUAAUAAAAUACUGCGGGAUGUGCAAGAAGAAUCGUACGAAUCGACUGAGACUGAGAACACUUUUUUUUUUGUUAUAACGAAUGAAAAAUAAUAAAUAAGUUUCGAUUUGAUUUUCCGCAUCGUUUAUUUACGUUAAAUAUCGAAUAUAUGUUAAAUCCGUAUACUUACCUGAAGUGUUACCUGAUCAUUUG